GUUUAAGAUCAUGCCACCCUGAACAAGCCCGAUGUCUGAUCUCAGAAGCGAAGCUGGGUCGGGCGUGGUUAGUACUUGGAUGGGAGACCACCUAGGAAGACUAGGUGCUGUAGGCA
rnacentral:rRNA from 1 species